rnacentral:lncRNA from 1 species
CUUGGACUAACAAGUGGGAGCGGCGCUUUCAGAGGGGCCCCCACUAUCUUCGGUUUACUACGGAAUGGUGGAACUGAACGAUCCAGGGAGUUUGUCAGGUAUGCGUGGGGUUCCCUUACACAACGUGGACGGCAGUGGACCGGAGGUGUGUGUGGGAGUGGCCGCUCGGGGCUUUAGGGAUGGGAUCGCCGAGCAUCGGCGCGAUGUGUCUGAGGGUGGCCUCGGCGCCGCACUGGCGCGGCAGGCGUGUGGAAGGGAUGUGGCGGUAUUCUGGCGGGACGCUCGCAUUUUGGGGAAAGUUAGGGACCGGGGGAUGCUGCCAACGGUGG